GUGCCAGCAGCCGCGGUAAUACGUAGGGUGCGAGCGUUAAUCGGAAUUACUGGGCGUAAAGCGUGCGCAGGCGGCUUUGCAAGACAGAGGUGAAAUCCCCGGGCUCAACCUGGGAACUGCCUUUGUGACUGCAAGGCUAGAGUACGGCAGAGGGGGAUGGAAUUCCGCGUGUAGCAGUGAAAUGCGUAGAUAUGCGGAGGAACACCGAUGGCGAAGGCAAUCCCCUGGGCCUGUACUGACGCUCAUGCACGAAAGCGUGGGGAGCAACAGGAUUAGAUAC
rnacentral:rRNA from 1 species